GUAAACACUUGUGAGAAUUAACUUCACAUGUAAUAGCAAAAUUGCAUCUUGAGAUUCACUUGUUAUCAGUUUGGUGUCUGUACAACACCAGAUUAUUACAGAUUUAACAGGUUCAGUCUGCUGGCAGAAAUGUAUUUGCUUGUUAGAGGACAACAGUGUAGGGGAGACGAGACAGUUGUAACGGGACGGUUGUAACACCUUGAAUUCCUCCAAUUAGAAACAACCUAGAGUGAUCACACUCACUGCGCAUGCUCAGUUAGUUUCCCUCCAUUUUUGCCAUAAAGGGAGCCACAUUAGAAUCUUCCUGACGGAGUUAUCUACAAAAGAUUGUUUUUGAGCAGAAAUCAUCCUAACAGAGAUUUGGAUGGGCCCACUGAUAAAUUCCACCUCCCCAUCAGGAUCCACACGCCGCCUACUACUAGGAGGAGCUUCCCAAUUGAUGUCCUCCCUCGUCCUCCUGCCCUGCCGUGGGACUGGAACAACCAUGAUGGCACGAGCAUAAGGCCAACCAGGCACUACUGCAUGUCCUCGAUGUUAACAUGAUAGUGAGGUCGGGAAAGAGGAAGUGUAGGGUGGGGUGGCCUCCUCAAAAGGGAUGGGCUUCUUACAGGAAAUGGGACCCAUAGAGGGGAUGUUCUCCUCAAAGGUGAUGGGCCCCAUAUAGGGGAUAGACCCCUCAUAGGCGGUGAUGGGUAGGGGGUGGGCUCGACACCUCAUGCUCACCACCAUCAUGCGCUUCAUUUGGUCGCCCGGGCCUGUUGUCGUCGUCCUCGUAAUCGCUGAGGUCUCUGCUGUAGUAGAGUCGGUGUAGGGAUAAAAAUACACAAUUGGAGGCAGAGAACAAGCAAAAUAGCGGUGUAGAAAUAUUGCAGUCGGUAAUCCACAUCUUGCGAGCUUCACCACCGUGAUACAUCUGAUUUUUAGAUUGACUAGGUUGACGUGUCACGUGACACCAAAAAAACUACCAGUCAGCAGAGGAUUUGUGAAAAUUCUUACUGAUGGUGUCUAUAAUAUAUAAAUGAUUACGGUGAAUAAAUUGCAUAUAUUAUACAGUCAUUUGACAAAAUUAGAACAUGCCACAAAAGGCAUUUUUUACAAAUAAAACAUUUGGGCAUUUAUUCUACAUUUUUUACAACAUUGGAAGAUUCAGGGAAUAUAACUAAACAAUUACUACAAAAAAGUCUUUAUUAAAUGAUCUGUAAAACGUCAUUUAAAUCAAAUCCAAUUUUUAGUGAGGAAAAAGUAAGGACACCCCCACAUUUAUUUGUACUAUAAAUGUCUAAAAACGACUAAGAUAAAUCACAGCAAGUGCAAAUUAUUAGAACAUGUUUACAAAGCAUUAUGAAGGAGGCUUGAAUUAUUUAAACUUCAGAUAUUUAGUUUGGUUUGAUUUUAAUUGGUAAGUGAGAUAUAUCACCAUGAUGAGACAACCCAGUCUCACGGCAAGCCUUUGCAAAGCUGCUGGAGCAUCGGACUAAGUGUGGAGGAAGAAAUGGACAUAUCAAUGGCGAUGCACUGCAGCGGAGCUUCUUGGAGUUUUCCUACGCUUCUUUUGAAGAAGACCAGCUCUGCUGUAGUGCUCCUUUCACCUGCCCAGCCUGCAUGCCGGAAAUGUUGGCUGUUUCCGCUGAUGGGAACAGAAAGCUAUAUCGCUUUCACCGAAACACAAGACACAGGGAAGAGGCACAUGUGAGGACUCCCAGUGAACAGCAGCGAGGGAGACUUCAAGGAGGGCUUCCAAAUUGGAUGAAGAUGGGAUGGAUGUUGCUGUCACCAUGGGUUCCUUCUGAAAGCCCUUAAAAUGUACAGGGGGGAGAUAUUUGCCUACCCCCUGUAUUUUCAGAAGGAGCUCAUGCCAGCCAAGGCAAAAUUCUUUGCUAUGGAUGUGGUUUGCAAAUAUUGGCCAUACUUGGAGAAAGUUGCUCAAGUCCUUCCUGCUCUUCAGGAGCUCACCGAAAUGAAACCCUUCCUCAGCAUAAUGCAUGCUCGAGCCCAUGCUAUAAAGUGUGAGAUUAAAUGGAGUGGUAGGAACCAGGAAGGAGCAGGAACAACAGCCGGAGAGGAGGUGGAGCAAGUGAACAGCUACCUGUCACGUUGUGCCCUGACUACCAAAUAUACUGUAUGUCCAAAGCAGCACGGGUGGACAUGGUUACUUUGCAUGCAGUGGGGUGGAACCACAAAAAAGUCUCUCUCUAUAUCUGGCACUUUCCACAAGAUAUGUGAAGAGACACCAGAUACAUCUCGUGCCAGUCAAGGAGUGUGUAUGACCUCCCUACAACACCUGGGCAUGCUCCUGAUGAGGUGGCGGAUGGUCUCCUGAGGGAUCUCCUCCCAGACCUGGACUAAAGCAUCCGCCAACUCCUGGACAGUCCGUGGUGCUCGUCUGCUCCAUCUCCCCCACUGUAGUGGUCGUCUGCUCCAUCUCCCCCACUGUAGUGGUCGUCUGCUCCAUCUCCCCCACUGUAGUGGUCGUCUGCUCCAUCUCCCCCACUGUAGUGGUCGUCU